GCAAGAUAUUGUUGUUCUAAUGAUACAGCUUCAGUUAAACAGCCAACAUAAUGAAGCAGAUAAAGUGCUAGUUAUUUUUCAGACUAGGAGUAAGGAAAUUUAAGGUAGGAUAUGGAUAUGGAUAUAUUAAAAACAAACAGAACAGAGUAGGAAGGAGACUGAAGAAUGAUUCUUAAGAAACAUAAUGGAUUUGGAGUCAGGAGAAAUAAAAUCCUACAGAUAAUAUCCAAGAUAUUGAAUAUUGAAGGUUAAUAUCAAGCACUUUGUUAUCACUCUAAAAUGGAUUGGAAGUUGAUAUAAGCCAGUGUCCUGGUAUAAUGAGAUGGUGUCUUAUGAACAAUUUCACAAUUUGUUUUCUGAAAGUUCCAUGGAUAACAUGUUUACAUUUUAUACCAAUGUUGGGACGGCAAAUUUUUGAUUCUCCAGAUGUUGCUGAAUUAUAGCAUUCUUUAUCAUUUUCUUUAUUAUAGCAUUCUUUAUCAUUAUCCAUAUCAAUUUAUGGAAUAGCAUUUCAGUGGUUCAAUCCAAGCAAAGUUACUUGGCAUGGAUGAUGCAAUUUUUGUUGACUUUGUUAUCCUUUUUUACUUUUAGCAUUCUAAAAGUUAAUGUUCAUGGCCAACUUGGCUCUUUCACUAUUCAGUUGUAACUCCAGAUUACAUAUGAACAAGUUGUAAAGCAUUCUUCCCAAAUCCCAAUACAGAUCCUUGAGGAUCUCAUUUGUUACAUGAUUCCAAUAUAAGAUUUUUCAAUUUAGUCCAUCUUGUUCUUUAACCAGCUACUAGUCCUUCUGGUUCUUAUUCAUACUAUUGCUGGCUAUUAGUCCUUCAAGACAGGUUAGGCCAGGAAAAGGAUUCCACAACAAAUCUUCUUUGAUAAUAUUUCUCUAAUAAAUCAAUUCUUUUUGAUACAAGCUGUAGUAUGCAUUACACAGUACUAAAGAGUUGAAAUAUUGACAAUGUUUUCCUUUUCUUCUCUCUUACAUCAAAGAUAAUCAAGGUGGAGUCAGUUUAAUUUUCUUUCUAAUGCCUUCUUCCCUUCCUGGGGUUAAUUCACAUUUUGCUAACUGUCUCCACACUGUUUCUCCAAGUUCAUCUCUGUGGUUGGUCUACAUUGGCUCAGAAACCUCUGAAGAGGGAUUUUGUCAAAAAGUUCUGAAAAUCCGAAAUAAAUCCUACAAGACAGUAAGAGAUGCAAACAGCAAGCAUACAAGGGGGCAUUGAUAUUAUUAUUUAACAUUUGCAUUGUUAAAAACACUACAAUUUUAAAAUAUAUAAAACAUUAAAAAUAGCCAGGGACAAAUUUAAUUUGUUUAAUCCCAGGAGAGUUUAAAGGGUGCUAAAGAAAGAUCAGGACAUUGUGAAGGACCUGAUUGAAUUUUUGAAUCUCUCUUUGCCACAAAGAUAUAGUCCAGGUAUUUAGGUAUGAACUGAAAUUUUGAGAAAAAGAGGUUUGAAGGAUUGAGACAAAUAGUAACAACAAGCUACAAUUGCAUGUUGCUCCACUUUUUGAACUGAUUUCCGUGCUGAAUUUAUUAUUGCUGCAGAAGUUUUAAUUAUCCCAUGAAUGCUUUAACUAUAUUGUUUUGUGUGUGCAGGACAAAGUUUGCAGAGUGUGAUAAGAAAGAAAUGAGACAUAAAUAAAUGUUAAUUUCUAGAACAUAUAAAUGAAUUACAAAUAAAAAUAUAACCCA